CGGAGUAUAGCGCAGCCUGGUAGCGCACCAGCAUCGGAGGCUGGGGGCCGAAAGUUCAAAUCUUUCUACUCCGACCA
rnacentral:tRNA from 1 species